rnacentral:rRNA from 1 species
AUACGUAGGUGACAAGCGUUAUCCGGAUUUACUGGGCGUAAAGGGCGUGUAGGCGGUCUUGCAAGUCAGAAGUGAAAUUCCUGAGCUCGACUCGGGCGCUGCUUCUGAAACUGCAGGACUUGAGUGCUGGAGGGGAUAGCGGAAUUCCUAGUGGAGCGGUAAAAUGCGUAGAGAUCAGGAGGAACACCGGUGGCGAAGGCGACUUUCUGGCUGACAACUGACGCUGAGGCGCGAAAGCGUGGGGAGCGAACAGGAUUAGAUACCCUGGUAGUCCACGCCGUAAACGAUGAUUACUAGGUGUAGGGAGUAUCGACUCCCUCUGUGCCGCAGUUAACACAAUAAGUAUUCCGCCUGGGGAGUACGGCCGCAAGGUUGAAACUCAAAGGAAUUGACGGGG